AAGGUUAAAACUCAAAUGAAUUGACGGGGGCCCGCGACAAGCGGUGGAGCAUGUGGUUUAAUUCGAUGCAACGCGAAGAACCUUACCUGGUCUUGACAUCCACAGAACUUAGCAGAGAUGCUUUGGUGCCUUCGGGAACUGUGAGACAGGUGCUGCAUGGCUGUCGUCAGCUCGUGUUGUGAAAUGUUGGGUUAAGUCCCGCAACGAGCGCAACCCUUAUCCUUUGUUGCCAGCGGUCCGGCCGGGAACUCAAAGGAGACUGCCAGUGAUAAACUGGAGGAAGGUGGGGAUGACGUCAAGUCAUCAUGGCCCUUACGACCAGGGCUACACACGUGCUACAAUGGCAUAUACAAAGAGAAGCGACCUCGCGAGAGCAAGCGGACCUCAUAAAGUAUGUCGUAGUCCGG
rnacentral:rRNA from 1 species